rnacentral:sRNA from 1 species
AGUAUCGAUAGUGCCAUCGAAGGUUUUCCAGCUCUAUGUUGUACAGUUGUGAACAAAGUGUGAAAAGCGGUAUAUGUGCUAUAAAUUUAUUCACGUGUUAGAAUCGGUCUUUAUUUGGUGGGGAGCAACUGCCAAAGCUUGUUUUCACACGAUCGCAAAACUCGUGAUUGGUCGACCUUGCCGCAGUCCAAACGGGACUUAUCAUUGCCGUUGCUGACGCCAAAGAUUGAACAGCAACCAGUGAUUUGGAUCAGUGGAGAAUCCAAUAGGAAACUCGCAGUAUUUCGAAUAUCGAGGCACAGAUUGCGCCCUACGUAGUCGACUCGUGAGGAUUUAAAGAUUCUCAGCAAGAAGAAUAAGAAAAAAUAAGAAUAUAUUAUGGAAAACAGUGAACUGGAAAAAGCGAGUGCAGUGAACGACCAAUUGGCCGAGUUAAGGCAACAGGUUCAGGCUCUUGAAAACAGAGUGAAGAAGUAUGCGAGGCAGCUGGCGGAUAUUUCGGACCAGGUUGAACAGAUUGCGGCCUUGUUACGUUCGCAUCGGAGAGGACCUUCUAGCUUUAGAGCUCAAAAUAAGCUUAGGCCCUAGAGAACGCUACUGCGCCUACAACAUAGACGGCCGUAACGGGAAAAAGUCCUUAAAAUCAUUUCCCAAUAUCUUUUCCGUUAUGAUUGUAUGUAUUAUUAUUAUUAUUAUUUUAUAAUAAUACCGAUAUUGUUAACCGCAAGAAGGCUUUUUUUAUUUCCUUGAAUACAUGUCAUGUCAUAUUGUUGGCACCAACUGGACAGCUACUUUCCUCGUCUGUUUGCCAACACAUUUCCUCUCUUGGCAUAUAGUGAUAUUCGGUGUAAAAAAGAAUACCCAAAACAACUUUUGCUCAACUACAAUGGGUUAUUUUGCAUCUAAAUCUUUAAUCAUUUCCUUUUUGUUUUCCAAGUGAGAGCUAGUGGUGUAUUUUUUUA